rnacentral:tRNA from 4 species
GGCUCCGUGGCGGAGUGGUGACGCAGCGGAUUGCAAAUCCGUGUACCCCGGUUCGAUUCCGGGCGGAGCCUCCA